rnacentral:rRNA from 1 species
UGUCCAGACUCCUACGGGAGGCAGCAGUGAGGAAUAUUGGCCAAUGGGCGGAAGCCUGAACCAGCCAAGUCGCGUGAGGGAAGAAGGCCCUGCGGGUCGCAGACCUCUUUGGACGGGGAGCAAGGCCGCCGACGUGUCGGCGGAAGGAGAGUACCCGUAGAACAAGCAUCGGCUAACUCCGUGCCAGCAGCCGCGGUAAUACGGAGGAUGCGAGCGUUAUUCGGAUUUAUUGGGUUUAAAGGGUGCGUAGGUGGUUAAUUAAGUCAGCGGUGAAGGUUUGUGGCUCAACCAUAAAAUUGCCGUUGAAACUGGUUGACUUGAGUAUAUUUGAGGUAGGCGGAAUGCGUGGUGUAGCGGUGAAAUGCAUAGAUAUCACGCAGAACUCCGAUUGCGAAGGCAGCGCACCGGCGCCCUACUGACGCUCAGGCACGAAAGCGUGGGUAUCGAACAGGAUUAGAUACCCCCGUAC